AUUGAACGCUGGCGGCAGGCCUAACACAUGCAAGUCGAGCGGAUGAAGGGAGCUUGCUCCUGGAUUCAGCGGCGGACGGGUGAGUAAUGCCUAGGAAUCUGCCUGGUAGUGGGGGAUAACGUCCGGAAACGGGCGCUAAUACCGCAUACGUCCUGAGGGAGAAAGUGGGGGAUCUUCGGACCUCACGCUAUCAGAUGAGCCUAGGUCGGAUUAGCUAGUUGGUGGGGUAAAGGCCUACCAAGGCGACGAUCCGUAACUGGUCUGAGAGGAUGAUCAGUCACACUGGAACUGAGACACGGUCCAGACUCCUACGGGAGGCAGCAGUGGGGAAUAUUGGACAAUGGGCGAAAGCCUGAUCCAGCAAUGCCGCGUGUGUGAAGAAGGUCUUCGGAUUGUAAAGCACUUUAAGUUGGGAGGAAGGGCAGUAAGUUAAUAACUUGCUGUUUUGACGUUACCAACAGAAUAAGCACCGGCUAACUUCGUG
rnacentral:rRNA from 1 species